rnacentral:rRNA from 1 species
AUUGAACGCUGGCGGCAGGCCUAACACAUGCAAGUCGAGCGGAGCGGCGGACGGGUGAGUAAUGCCUAGGAAUCUGCCCUGUAGUGGGGGAUAACGUCCGGAAACGGGCGCUAAUACCGCAUACUAUCAGAUGAGCCUAGGUCGGAUUAGCUAGUUGGUGGGGUAAAGGCCUACCAAGGCGACGAUCCGUAACUGGUCUGAGAGGAUGAUCAGUCAAACGGGAACGGAGAACGGGUCCAGACUCCAACGGGAGGGAGCAGUGGGGAAUAUUGGACAAUGGGCGAAAGCCUGCUACAGCAAUGCCGCGGGUGUGAAGAAGGUCUUGGGAGUGUAAAGGACUUUAAGUUGGGAGACGUUACCAACAGAAUAAGCACCGGCUAACUUCGUGCCAGCAGCCGCGGUAAUUC